GGAGCGGUAGUUCAGUUGGUUAGAAUACCUGCCUGUCACGCAGGGGGUCACGGGUUCAACCCCCGUCCGUUCCG
rnacentral:tRNA from 1 species